GCACUGUUCUUUUGAGGACAGGGUAGC
rnacentral:piRNA from 1 species